rnacentral:rRNA from 1 species
UAUUGGUCAAUGGGCUUACGCCUGAACCAGCCAAGUCGCGUGAGGGAAGACUGCCCUAUGUGUUGUAAACCUCUUUUGUCAGGGAGCAANUGGCGCUACGUGUAGCGUUAUCUAGAGUACCUGAAGAAAACUCAUCGGCUUACUCCGUUCCAGCAGCCGCGGUAAUACGGAGGAUGCGAGCGUUAUCCGGAUUUAUUGGGUUUAAAGGGUGCGUAGGCGGGCAUUUAAGCCGGCGGUCAAAUGUCGAGGCUCAACCCCGGCCUGCCGUCGGAACUGGGUGCCUUGAGUGGGCGAGAAGUAUGCGGAAUGCGUGGUGUAGCGGUGAAAUGCAUAGAUAUCACGCAGAACCCCGAUUGCGAAGGCAGCAUACCGGCGCCCUACUGACGCUGAGGCACGAAAGUGCGGGUAUCG